UAAUCAUCAGCUAACAAUGUAGCAAUGCUCUCGGAAAAGACGGCAAGAAACAACGUAUUCACACUGAAUUAUUAGCACGGAAAUGGAUAUCGGACCGAACAGAGUUCUGAUGUUAGAACCCUGACCUGAAAUGUUGGCUCUACUUCUCUCUCAACAGAGGAAUCCGGGUCUUCAUUCUGUUUGAGAUUGCUGCAAUAUAUGAGAAGCUCCUGAAGUCUCCUUGAUAAUCCAGAGGACUGACAACCCCUGGAUUUUGCCAGCACAGCUGUUAGUGUUGUCAUCCAAAGUGCAAAGAUCUAGAUAAUUCAUUUCAUUGACAGCUCCAUAGGAACUAUGAUUGGAAAUAACAUAAAUGAAAUUCCUUUACAGUCACUUGAAAUGUUUCAUAUGUCUGGCUUGAUUAAAGUUACA